UACGAAGGGUGCAAGCGUUACUCGGAAUUACUGGGCGUAAAGCGUGCGUAGGUGGUUCGUUAAGUCUGAUGUGAAAGCCCUGGGCUCAACCUGGGAAUUGCAUGGGAAACUGGCGGGCUUGAGUGUGGCAGAGGAGGGUGGAAUUCCGCGUGUAGCAGUGAAAUGCGUAGAGAUGCGGAGGAACACCGAUGGCGAAGGCAGCCCUCUGGGCCAACACUGACGCUCAGGCACGAAAGCGUGGGGAGCAAACAGG
rnacentral:rRNA from 1 species